UACCAGCACCCCGAGUGGUCGGGACGUUUAUUGGGCCUAAGGCAUCCGUAGCCGGUUCUACAAGUCUUCCGUUAAAUCCACCUGCUUAACAGAUGGGCUGCGGAAGAUACUAUAGAGCUAGGAGGCGGGAGAGGCAAGCGGUACUCGAUGGGUAGGGUAAAAUCCGUUGAUCCAUUGAAGACCACCAGUGGCGAAGGCGGCUUGCCGGAACGCGCUCGACGGUGAGGGAGUGAAAGCUGGGGGAGCAAACCGG
rnacentral:rRNA from 1 species